AGCGAACGCUGGCGGCAGGCUUAACACAUGCAAGUCGAACGAACCCUUCGGGGUUAGUGGCGGACGGGUGAGUAACACGUGGGAACGUGCCUUUUGGUUCGGAACAACACAGGGAAACUUGUGCUAAUACCGGAUGUGCCCUUCGGGGGAAAGGAUUAUCGCCAUUAGAGCGGCCCGCGUCUGAUUAGCUUGUUGGUGAGGUAAAGGCUCACCAAGGCUACGAUCAGUAGCUGGUCUGAGAGGANGAUCAGCCACACUGGGACGUGAGACACGGCCCAGACUCCUACGGGAGGCAGCAGUGGGGAAGUCUUGCGCAAU
rnacentral:rRNA from 1 species